UUCCAGUCAGACUUUUACAGAGAGGUAUCCAGGGAGAGCACGGAGACAUUUUCAGAAGCAAGGCUGAUCGCAGGAUUUUCAGCCUGCUAAAUCAGUUGGAAUCUUUCUGAAUAAACGACAAGAAAUUACUGCUCAUGCACCCCAGCAACAUGCAGCCCAGAGCUGGUCAAUCCCUCUCAACAGUUACAUGCCAGCGAUUAUUCCAGUUCCACCAUUGAUCCAAGAUGACUUAUCUCAACAGGGAGUCGUUCUGUUUACACUACUUCAGAAAUCUCUGAGAUGUUAUUUGAUCUACAGCAUCCAUUAGACACACAGAAUACAUUUCCUUCUCUACUGUUUCAUCUUAUUAGCAAGAUAUGGCAAUGACACUGUCUGCUAAUUGCUAUCCAACUAGUGCUUUGUGUCUUGUUAAUUUUGACUAAGACAUUUUUCCUGCAUAACACAGUGUAGAUAUUAUUAAUAGGGGAAAGAAAGGUAGUUAAUUGGUGUCAUGAGUGUUACACAAAUAUAAAAUUGAC
rnacentral:lncRNA from 1 species